rnacentral:antisense_RNA from 1 species
UGUGGGAGCGGGCUUGCCCGCGAUGACGGAGUUUCAGUCACAUAGACAUUGGCUGAUCCACCGCUAUCGCGGGCAAGCCCGCUCCCACA